rnacentral:rRNA from 1 species
AUUGAACGCUGGCGGCAGGCUUAACACAUGCAAGUCGAGCGGGGUGAUGGUGCUUGCACUAUCACUUAGCGGCGGACGGGUGAGUAAUGCUUAGAAAUCUGCCUAUUAGUGGGGGACAACAUCUCGAAAGGGAUGCUAAUACCGCAUACGUCCUACGGGAGAAAGCAGGGGAUCACUUGUGACCUUGCGCUAAUAGAUGAGCCUAAGUCGGAUUAGCUAGUUGGUGGGGUAAAGGCCUACCAAGGCGACGAUCUGUAGCGGGUCUGAGAGGAUGAUCCGCCACACUGGGACUGAGACACGGCCCAGACUCCUACGGGAGGCAGCAGUGGGGAAUAUUGGACAAUGGGGGGAACCCUGAUCCAGCCAUGCCGCGUGUGUGAAGAAGGCCUUAUGGUUGUAAAGCACUUUAAGCGAGGAGGAGGUUCUUUUGGUUAAUACCCAAGAUGAGUGGACGUUACUCGCAGAAUAAGCACCGGCUAACUCUGUGCCAGCAGCCGCGGUAA